AAGUAUAAAGUCAAAAUCGUGAGGAAAUAUUAGCUAAAAGCGCCUAAAGGUUCAAAUAAUUGGCACGAGGCCCAAAUAUGGCAUUCAACCCAAAACAUAAUGAUAUCAAACCAUUUUCAGUCAAAUAUAUGGUAAAACAGUCAUAAGGGAUGGACUACAUCGCAGUACCCAAUAGUGCACGACCACACGCUCGUCAUCUAGCGUAUGCGUCACCUUAAUAU
rnacentral:lncRNA from 1 species